ensembl:lncRNA
GGUAUGUACGGUGGCCCUGAGAGGCCAAACGGACUGCAACUUCAGAAAACACUUGCAAAAAGAAAAAUGCUGCAAAAAGGAAAACGCUGCAAACACAAAAACGCUGCACUGCAACUUCAAGAAAAACGCUGCACUGCAAGAGAGGCCAAACGGACUGCAACUUCAGAAAACACUUGCAAAAAGAAAAAUGCUGCAAAAAGGAAAACGCUGCAAAAACAAAAACGCUGCACUGCAACUUCAAGACAAACGCUGCACUGCAACUUCAGAAAACACCUGCAAAAAGAAAAAUGCUGCAAAAAGAAAAACGCUGCAAAAAGAAAAAAUGCUGCAAAAAGAAAAAAUGCUGCAAAAAGAAAAACGCUGCAAAAGCACACAAAGCACAACGGAAAUAGGAAAAGACACAACGGAAAUAGGAAAAGACACAACGGAAAUAGGAAAAGACACAACGGAAAUGUUCCUGGGGAGACAAUAACCCGACGGACCAUUUGCACGAACCAAAACAUGCUAGCCAGUGCGCUGGGACUGCGAGACACUUCAAAGAAGUGGAGGAGAGGUUAAGAUGUAUUGUCCAUUCUGUGGAUUCCAGUUUGAGAACUUGACAAAAUUUUGCUGUUCCUGUGGAAAAGACAUAAGUUUUGUACCAGCUAAAGAUGCUUCCACAGAACAAGAACACUCAAGAGCCAAGACAGUUGUUCAGCAGUUCUUCAAGUACCGUGAAGGUAAAGAGGCAGAAAGGAGGAUGUUCUCAAAAUCCAAAAAGAAAUCAAUGAAAACAGUGAAGGUAUAAAUAAAAAGUUUUUUAAAUGUUAAUCUGUUGUCUGACAACACUUUUCUAAUAUGUGACCACUUUUUUUUCCUAAAAUGUAAUCUAGAUUUCUGUUGGGAUCAUGAACAAACAAAAGACUGGCAUGAGACCCAUAAGAGGGAAAUCACUACCAUUACAUGUUGACCCAAGCUGGUCAUCUGAGAGGCUGUUGGGUGCUGCCAUUAAAAACUGAAAGAUUUCAACCAAGAUAUGAAAGAUGUAGAAUACAUCCUGCUCUACCCUGAUGGCUCUCAAAUAAAAAAUAUUCCAGGAACUGACACACCCUUUACGAUUGAACUCUACAAAGAGGCCGUUGGCAAGUCUUACCAAAGAAUUACACUAUUUGUCUGCACACUUGAGGACUUUUUGUCAGAAUAUGUUAGUGCUUCAGAAGAUGAGGAGGAUGAUGAAGUUAUCGUUAGGGUACCACCCG